CUUAAUAGAAGGCAGACAUAUGAGCAAGCAAAUAAGAUUUUUGAGAAAGCCAUGAAACUGGAACAAGAGUUUGGUGAAUAUUUUACAGCCAUUGUACAAGGAGAUUCACUGGAAGAGAUCUACAACAAAAUCAAAUUAAUCAUAGAAGAGCAUUCUGGUCCCUUUAUCUGGAUCUCAUCUCCAGAAAGACUCUGAAAUAACAGACUUUUUCCAGCCACCUCAUAUCUUGUGAGAAGCAGAUGCUCAAAACCUAAAAUCAAGAAAAUAAACUGACAAACAUUCAACCCCUACUUUUUUUUUUGAUAUGUUGCAUAUCAAGUUCCAUGGUCAUCAUUCUGUUCUUCUGACAAUAUCAAUGUGACUGUGCCCAUUCCUGCAUGAUGUUUUCUGCAGCUCCAUCAAGGACUUGGAAUAUCUCAUUCAGAAUUCUUUUCCAUUGCUUUCAUCUUUUGUAAACAGAAACCAUGGAUGGACAGACAGACGAGAGGACAGCUGUACAAAAUUAUUUCAUUUUUUUUUUGUUGUUGUUGUUUUUGGUGGGGUGAGGCAACAAGGCCAUAUAUACAGUUUGCAUUAAAGCAGAAACCCAGAGGUAUAAUAUAUAAAAUUGUGAAAGGUUUCUAUAAGUUUGUAUAAUUAUAUUACAGACCUGGAAAGUUAAAAACUAAGAAAAAUUUUUUAUAUAUUAAGAACAGUGAAUGGUUGGGACUUAAAUGGUACUACUAUCACUACAGUGAUCUUUAAAUUACUUUGUUAUUUAAAUCAAUGUAAUGCAAAGACAGAAUGGUACAAAAAGCUUUGGAGUGAACCACUACAAUAUUUUGGGAUGUAAAGCUAGCAUUAGUGCUGGCCUGUCUGCACGGAAGCCAUCAUCUUGGAGGCAGAAGCCAUGAAAUGGAAGAUAAUGUUUAUUUAGAUUUAAAAAAAGUCCUAGUGAUAUUAUGGAGAAAUAAUUUUAUUACAUAUUAAAUUGUACAUUGUUUUACACACCAACAAACACGUCUGCAUGGAGGACUUUUUUGUUUUCCCAUUUCUGAGUUUUGCAUAAGUAAUGGUUAAAUAUAUUUUACAGUUUUUAGUCAAGCUGUGAGAUGCAAAGUUUCUCAGCAGUGACUGUCCCUAGUUUUCAAAUAUUUGCAAUGACUGGCCAAUGCUUUACAGGCUAAUGUGUUAUAUACUACUACAGAAGAGGGCUCAUCAGUUCUAACCAGCAGGAUCCAUGAUUCAGGAAAGUGUCAGAGGCAAGCAGUGCAGGCACAACUUUGGUUCAAUAAUGUAAAGACCACCCAUACCCUGUAACCUUGCUUCACUUGUCACCCAAGAGCUAAAAGACAGGGCAUUAACAGAUUUUUUUUUCCUUUUAAUACACAGAUUGACAAGUGAAGGUAAGGCACAACCAUUUUUGUACCAAAACAGUGCACUGUUUUAUAUAGCCAGGCCAGCAGUUUUAUUUUUUCCUUCUUUUGCAUGGAUAACUGUUUUGAAUAGUACAUUUGAAGCAUUUACACAGUAAAACUAUAACAUCUGUUUACUUUGCAAGAAACCUAAGAAAAAUCAAUUGCCUGGGUUGCUGCUGAGACAAAAGUAUAACUGAAUAAUUUUGGAUUAGUCUUCCUUAGCUUCUGAAUUAGUCUGGUUAAUGUAAUGCUGCUACAUACUUUAAAUCACAAGAAAGAAUGCCUGCUGGAGUAACAAUCUGGGAUGAUGCAUUAUUUUUAGCAGAACUGUUUACUGUUCAACACAAGGUUCAGGCAAAAUUAGCUAACACACUGAAAAUAAUUUUCUUCAAUGCCUUGCAAACUCUGAAACUAAGAGUGAUUUCUUUAAGUAUAAAUAAAUGGCAGAAAUGCGAGUGCUUAGGGCAGUAUUGAAUCUAGAAAGCAAAGGAUCCGAACCCUGUAUUUGUUUUCAGAUCAAACCUUUACUGCACAUUUUUUACAAGUCUAUUUUUUCUUAGCCAGUCUAGUUUUAAAGUGCAAAUAUUGUAGUGGAGUGGUCUAUUAAUGCCAUACUCCUAAUGGUUGACUCAAGAGCGAGUGAAAUAAAACAUGUACUUGUCCCUUC